UUUUUUUUUUUUGAUAAGUUUUUUUUUUUUAACUUCUUUGUAGAUCUUGGAUACUAGCCCUUUAUCUGAUUUAUCAUUUGCAAAUAAAUAUCUUCUCCCAUUCUUUAGGGUGUCUUUUAGUUUUGUUGAUGGUUUCUUUUGCUGUGCAGAAGCUUUUUAAGUCCCAACAGUUCAUUUUUGCUUUUGUUUCCCUUGCCUUCAUAGAUGCAUCUUGCAAGAAGUUGCUGUGACCAAGUUAAAAAAGGGUGUUGCUGGGCAGCCCAGGUGGCUCAGUGGUUUGAUGCCAUCUACGGCCCAGGGCAUGAUCCUGGAGACCCGGGAACCAGUCCCACGUCGGGCUCCCUGCAUGGAGCUGCCUUCUCUCUCUGCCUGUGUCUCUGUUUCUCAUGAAUAAAUAAAAUCUAAAAUUAAAAAAAAAAGGGUAUUGCCUGUUCUCCUCUAGGAUUUUGAUGGAGUUUUGUCUCACAUUUAGAUCUUUCAUCCAUUUUGAGUUUAUCUUUGUGUAUGGUGUAAGAGAAUGGUCCAGUUUCAUUCUUCUGUAUGUGGCUGUCCAAUUUUCCCAGCACCAUUUAUUGAAGACUGUCCUUUUUCCAGUGGAUAGUCUUUCCUGCUUUGUCAAAUAUUAGUUGACCAUAGAGUGGAGGGUCCAUUUCUGAGUUCUCUAUUCUGUUCCAUUGAUCUAGGUGUCUGUUUUUGUGCCAGUACCAUACUGUCUUGAUGAUCACAGCUUUAUAAUACAGCUUGAAAUCUGGCAUUGUGAUGCCCCUGGCUCUGGUUUUCUUUUUCAAUAUUCCCCUGGCUAUUUGGGGCCUUUUCUGGUUCCAUACAUAUCUUAUGAUUUGUUCCAUCUCUGUGAAAAAAGUCCAUGGUAUUUUGAUAGGGAUUGCAUUGAUGUGUAAAUUGCCCUGGAUAGCAUAGACAUUUUCACAAUAUUAAUUAUUCCAAUCCAUAAGCGUGGAAUACUUUUCCAUCUCUUUGUGUCUCCCUAAAUUUCUUUCAGAAGAGUUUUGUAGUUUUUAGGGUAUAUAGAUCCUUUACCUCUUUGGUUAGGUUUAUUCCUAGGUAUCUUAUGCUUUUGGCUGCAAUUGUAAAUGGGAU
rnacentral:lncRNA from 1 species